UACGGAGGGUGCAAGCGUUAUCCGGAUUCACUGGGUUUAAAGGGUGCGUAGGUGGGCAGGUAAGUCAGUGGUGAAAUCUCCGAGCUUAACUCGGAAACUGCCGUUGAUACUAUUUGUCUUGAAUAUUGUGGAGGUAAGCGGAAUAUGUCAUGUAGCGGUGAAAUGCUUAGAUAUGACAUAGAACACCAAUUGCGAAGGCAACUUACUGGACACCGAUUGACGCUGAGGCACGAAAGCGUGGGGAGCAAACAGG
rnacentral:rRNA from 1 species